ACCAAGCUCAGCUUACAUUUUCCGUCAAAGACCGGAGAGUUCACGUGUUUAUCAUCACGGGGCAUCUGUGACCACUCCGCAGCUGGGGCACGAAUCUGCCCAGCCCUGCUGUUGUAGCACAAAAGCAGCCAUAGACAAAAGCUGAACAGACAGACAUGGCUGCGUGACAAGGAAACUUCAUUUACAAAAACAGCAACUAAUGAGGGUUAGGCCCAAGGCCACAGCGUGCCAACCUUGUUCCUUCAGAGUGGGAAGAGCUGAGCUGAAUCUGUGAAGGACACAGAAGGUUUAAACAGGUUGAAGAGAGGAAGGAGAGAAAAGUGGGGAAAAGAACAGAAGUAGCAGUCGGGCCAGGGCAUGCACCUGCCAUGGUAGCCUCACCUGGAAAAGGGAUUCCCUCCUCUCUGCUUGUCCAGCCCGCUCUCCACUACGAAUUUACCACUCUGGUGUCGUCUCGGAGCAUGUGAUGAGAGAGUGAGCUGCGCCUCUUCUCCCUCUCUUCAUCCUGGACUCUCUCACAUAACAAAAUCCCUCCAGCAGAGACAGAUUGGAGAGUGGGCGGUGAUUCAGUGUGGAGUACUCCCUUCCUGUCUGAAGGUGAUGAGUAUAUUUCAACCUCAACCGAUUCCGUAAUAAGAAAUCACGUUGCUGAUUUUCCAAUAUCUACCUCCUGGACAAGUAAUAAAGCCCACCCAUGGGUUGGUCUGUCGUUCCUCCUCCGUCAA